rnacentral:rRNA from 1 species
CCUACGGGGGGCAGCAGUGGGGAAUAUUGCACAAUGGGCGCAAGCCUGAUGCAGCCAUGCCGCGUGUGUGAUGAAGGCCUUCGGGUUGUAAAGCACUUUCAGCGGGGAGGAAGGCGGUGAGGUUAAUAACCUCAUCGAUUGACGUUACCCGCAGAAGAAGCACCGGCUAACUCCGUGCCAGCAGCCGCGGUAAUACGGAGGGUGCAAGCGUUAAUCGGAAUUACUGGGCGUAAAGCGCACGCAGGCGGUCUGUCAAGUCGGAUGUGAAAUCCCCGGGCUCAACCUGGGAACUGCAUUCGAAACUGGCAGGCUAGAGUCUUGUAGAGGGGGGUAGAAUUCCAGGUGUAGCGGUGAAAUGCGUAGAGAUCUGGAGGAAUACCGGUGGCGAAGGCGGCCCCCUGGACAAAGACUGACGCUCAGGUGCGAAAGCGUGGGGAGCAAACAGGAUUAGAUACCCUAGUAGUC